UGUAAGGAUAAUACGCCUGCCUCCCUAGAA
rnacentral:piRNA from 1 species